rnacentral:rRNA from 1 species
CCCUUAGAUGUUCUGGGCCGCACGCGCGCUACACUGACGAAGGCAACGAGCUUUCCUUUACCGAAAGGUACGGGUAAUCUUUUGAAACUUCGUCGUGCUGGGGAUAGAUCCUUGCAAUUUUUGAUCUUAAACGAGGAAUGCCUAGUAAGCGCAAGUCAUCAACUUGCGUUGAUUACGUCCCUGCCCUUUGUACACACCGCCCGUCGCUACUACCGAUUGAAUGGUUUAGUGAGGCCUUCGGAUCCGCGACUCGUUUGUGGAGAAGUUGGACAAACUCAGUCAUUUAGAGGAAGUAAAAGUCGUAACA